rnacentral:sRNA from 1 species
UAUCUAUCAUCUAUCUAUCUAUCAUUUAUCUAUAUGUAUGAAGAUAGAGCAUGUUUAGAUAUAAAAUAUUUAUGGAUCACUCAUGAAGUUGCAGUGGUUGUCAUCAUUGAAAAUAAAGCAUCAGUUUAAUUACUUUGAUUCAUAUAUAACCAAACAGGCUAUAGCUAGUGUGCAUUCUUGUAUAUGAAUGCAUGGAAAUAUAAUACCUUGUUUUAAGACAGCAUUUUAAAUGCUAUCUCUUUAACCUGAAUUCAGUGACCAGAAAGAGCAAGUAUAAAUUCUGACCUCUGGCCAUCGAAACAGCAAUAGCAAGCAGUAUUUGCUUGCAAGUGGAUGGUGCCUGGCAGAGGAGAAAAAAACAAGAACAAAACCAAUAAACACAAGAUACAGGAACCUCACAGACUCAAAGAAGCCCAGUCAAAAACAAAAUAAUUGGUGCCUACCAGCAUUCAUACAUUCAACUAUCCUCACUGCUUUCCAUCUAGACACCCAAGUAUAGAAAGGAACCUAUGGAUAGACCUGAUACCAUGGAGUCAUCUGCACAUAGAAGACAGAAAAACUAUUCCAAAUAAUUAAAUUCAAGAAGCAGGUUGUCUUGCCCUUUAACAUAAUGGGGAUGGACAUAUUUUAUUAAAUAAGUGGUGGAAUGAUGGUGGGUUAGGGGCUGGGGCAGAUUUUGGGUGUUCUAUAUCCAGUGAUCCACUGGGAAAUUUCAUAAGAAAAAAAAAGGUGUGGUUUGGAGGAAAAGGAAGAAGGUGAUGAUCUGCCAUGCUGGAGUCAAGUGCAUUUGGGGAGAGAAAGAAAUAGGGAUUACUAUUUUAGCUAGAGUAUCCCUUCCUAUAAAUUGUACAGGACAGUUUAAUUCUACUAGAAAUAGGUUGAAUAAGAGGAUAUCCCUAAAACAACUGAUAAGUGGUGGAGUCUGAUGAAAUUGUUACUACUAUUUCCUUAUGUUAACAAUAAAAAAAUCUAGAGGAGAAUUGAAUCUCCAAAACUUUUAUCAGGACUGAAAAUGUGGUGACAGUAUGUAGAAGGAAGGAGCUGGAUCACUCUAAUGCUGUGAUUACUACCUGAGGCUUCCUCUCAGAGAUGAUGUCGGUUAGGACAGGAGAACCUGAGCAACCUCAGUCAUCUAUGGCCAGACCUAGAAGGUUAGCUAGAAAGUGAUCUGGUCUUGAUGUCCUCAUGCUGAGGAGGACAGGAGGACAAUAGGGAAGGGUUGGACACAACCAAAAGUGCCACAAAUGACCAGAGAAAUGGUGGGAUUAUAGGCACAUUGAAUAGAAGGCAAAAGAACAGAGUGGGAAGGCGCACAAAAGUCCUGUUAGAUUAAGAAACUACAGGAUUUCAGCUCCCAUGGUGGGAGGCUGAAUGGAGUCAAGUGAAGAGAGGGCCAGCAUAAACUUGAAGUCCAUGUCUAGAGAUAUUUUCACAUCCAAAAGUACCAGAGGUGUGCUGGACCCUCACCAGUCAUUUCCUUGGACUCAGGAAUAUAUUGUCACUGAGGAAAGAGGAAACUUACCUAAUUUCCACCACUGGAUGGUGGUCUAAGUGACUGAUGGAUUGGAAGUUAUGUUUGUUGCAGGUAGCCUGCAGUCAACAACUCCAGUGCAGAAUGGACCCUGAAGAGGAAUUCAAGCACCAACAGAGCCUAUGCAACCACAUCUUGUAUAUAAUUCAUCUGCAUGGUCACAAAUAGAAAGUGAAGAUCAACCACAAUGACUUCAAAUGGGACUCUAUUCUGCAGAUGCUUAUCUUCAGAUCUCAGCCUGGACAUGAUUUGCAAUAGUGCAGACAAAGACUAUAUUUAAACAAUUUUAGAGUUAUGGAGGUUUGCUGUGACGUAUGGAGGUUGAUAAAGCAGAACUGAGUUCCCUGACCUGGGUGAUACUUCUUUCUGAAAGAAAUUUCUAAGAAAAAAAUGGAGAAAAGAACCUGGGAUCUUACCCAUCAUUGAAUAUCAGCCCUCAAAGUGACAUCACUACCGAGGCAUGUAACACAAGGGAGAGAUGAGAAAGAGCCUAUGGUGGUCUCACCCAUCUCAGACAUCCAGGCUUUGCUCACUUCCUUAGGGGUUGCACAAUCAGGAUUUUCAGGGCUUUCAGGAUUUUCAAGAACCAUCAGCAACUGGAGGGUCAUCUUAUUUGUGGAGUAUUGCCUGGAAAUAUGAUGUGUGAGGUACUUAAAAUAAUUAUCAGUAGGACAAUUCUUCCCAUCAUAGCAUAAAUGGCUAUUCAUGAGGGGACAAACACCCUCUUAAAAUUGUCCUACACUUUUCUCAAGAAUAUGACAUCUAGGAAAAGCAAAGAGAACAUGAUUAGUUUGGCUAUGUUCUUCUUUAGCAGCACAUAGUAGCUAAGGGGUUUGUUUGACUAGGUGCCUUAAAUAUAUUGAACCACAUGUGGUUGAGCUUCAGUAACAUUAUGUACCUGGAAAAUGGUUAGGAAUAUUUAGUGAGACCUGGAAUCACAGGUCAAUAUAGAAAUGUUAGUAACAAUGCCAACUCUGCUGUCAUUAAGUCAAUCUGUUAUAAAAUGUGAAUGGCUUCAUAAAGUUGAUGAUCUAUUACCUCCUGUGCCUGUAGUGCUUCAGAUGACUUAGAGAUUAUGACAUUGACAUUCUCUGCCAUAAUGUCCGUCUGAGUCAAUGCAAUAAUAUCUGGUGUCAACCAUGCAGUGCCUGCAGUGAUGGCUGGUCCAUUGUUGAAUACCACAUCCAGCAAGUUGUCAGGAGAAGUUUUCAUUAAAACAGUUAAGACUGAUCUGAUAAUAAUGACCAUAAAUAAAAAAGGGAGGUCAGACACAGACUACUGUGAUUUUUCAGCCAACCUGGCUGCCAGGAGUCACAUUCACAAGGGUUGUCCAUUUUAUGCUUAAGACAAUCACUUUAUAUGGAAAUAUAUCCCAUUAACAAGAUGGCCACAUUUUAGGAGAGCAAGGGGGCAUAAAUCAAGACUGUUAGAGGGGUCACAUAAAUACCAAUAGUUAUAAUGGACUCAUGUCAGAAUUGAAUAGAAUCCCUGUUAACAAAGGGAAUAAUAUUGGAAGGAUCAUGUGAGGUAAACAUUCACAUGAAAUUUUUGAGGUUAGAUGACAGUAUCAGGUAGUCCCUGGUAAAUCUUACACCUAGUGCAGCUUGGCAGUGCUCCAAAAAGAUAGGAAGUCACACAAAAAAUAGGCAUUUGAGGAAUCCUUGCACAGUGAGGUGAACAUAAUGUGCUUGGGGAAACUUUUGGUAUUUGUAAUCAAUACGGGGAAAUGUGAAGUUUCAUACCUAACAUGAUGCUAUAGGUUAGCUUACCAUGAAAGUUCCCCAUGGUUACAUUAUACAGUUAAAUACAAGAGCCAAUGGUUGAGAAAUUGAUGGUAAAGCAGAAAGUUUCCUCUGUGGGAUGCUUGCCUUUUAAUCACCAUUUUGUAGUGACUACAUCCACAAAGGGCAAACUGAAAUUCACAUUGCAAGAAAAAACAACAAGGUAGUGCUGGAAAUUAACUGCAGCCAGCAAAAUAAUUGGCCACUGGUCCACCCAGAUAUCAGUUUCAGAUAGCCAGGACAAUUUUACAGGGUCAGGUACCUUGAUGUCGAUUGGCACUGGGUGGGCAGUGGCCAUUAUAAUUGGGGUUGAUCCACAAUUUUUGAUCCACUUGGUCAUGUUGUAUUAUGUCUUCAAAAAAGCCAAGUAUUUGUAGUAAGGACAUCACUCAUGUCUUCUAGAAUAUCUCUUGCCCAGAUGUUGCAGGGAAUAUCAGCCAUAACAGGUGUAAAAGACCCCUAUUUGCAAUCUAAGUCCUGCCAAGAAACAGGGUCGUAGUCACUCUUGUGCCUUGUUGGGCUCCCACUCCUGUAAUGGAGGGAACAGGCUGCAAUCUCCAAUGUGGUAACCUCAAUGAAUCAUUUUAUGUUAUUAUUGUGACAUCUGCCCCUGUGUGAAGCAAUCUUUUAACAAUCUAAAUGUAUACUCAUCAUUUUGAAAUGAGCAAACACAGGCAAGGUCCAAAUACUCCUGGACAAGAAGGGUUCCCUCUUACUGGCAGGGCUAAAGAGUGUCCCCUUUGAAAUUUACAUUGUCUUCCUGCUUUUGAGAACAGCAAUCCUUAGCCCAUUGGAAAUCUUUUUUACACCUGAGACAACUGGUCUUGGACCUAGUUGAAGAACAAUACUGUCUGAGUUGACAAGGCUUGCCACAACCUCAACAGGUGCAAUCAGGUGGCCUUUCAGGAGGAAGGUUUCUCUUCUGUACACACUCCAUGACCAAAGCAGCAAUGAAAGCAGUCAGUACUGUAAUGGGGCCUGCACCAGGGUCCAAAUCAUGAGGGUGAACAACCUUUAUAUGGAUAACAUCAUUGCUUCAGUCUGCCAUAGCAUUUCCAGUAGCAAUGUUAAGGCCCUGCCAUUCAAGCUGCUUGAUGAUCAUGUCUCUGGGGACAUCACUGACCAUCCUUUUCUCUGCCUCAGUCACACAGGCCAGAAGACUCUGAAGGACUCCCAAGACUGCUGGUUAAUUCUAGCCUGAUUCUCAGCAAAGUCACAAUAUUCAGACUUCCAAUUAAGAAACAUGGGUGGUUUUAACACCACCUUCUGAAGAUUAUACCUAUAUAACAUGUCUGCAGGUCUUUAUUGAUAUAUCAGAGUCACUGAAUGGAUUUGGGAGAACUCUGACUCUAAAAAGAAAUUGUUCAGCACGUUUUAAAGGAUGAGACCACGAAGUGAGGAGGAAGACCUCAGAAAGAUAAACAUGAAUAUGCUGCCUCAAAUCUUUUCACCACAGUGCUGAUGUGUAGAUGAAGAUCUGGGUUUUAAUUUUCUGUCAGCUUCAUCAGGGAUAAAAAAAUAUGACAUCCAAGGAUCCUCCAUGAAGAGCCACCAAGAAAGUCUUCACCUACAGAGCUUCCUUCUACACCCUCAUGGAAGGAUUCCCUGUGCUCCUAGUAGCACCCACCACUAAACUCAAGCCUACCACCAUCCAGAAAGGACUCGCCCAGUGGGACCAGCUGGAGCUCCACCCCAUCCCCCAUCCCCGGCCUAGAUCCAGCCUCUGAGCCUCCAUUUCAUUCUCAGCUCUUCUGAGGCAUUCCAGGGGUGACUGGAUGCCCAAGAGCCUGAGAACCAGAUGGCUCCGGCGUCUUUGCAGACUUGGGACCUGACCUGAGAGCCAGCUCGGGCUGUUUCCAGUACUCAGACUAUGCUUCCCCACACACCCCAGAGGGGUGUCCCACAGCUUUCCACAGCUCAACACCGGCCUGGUGACAGCAUGGAGUAGUGUGAUCAAACUUCCUGCAUCCAGCCUUCCAGAGACUAAUCCUACAGCAUCUCAGUUGUUUGAUUUUCAUUUCCCUGAUGAUUAAGCAUGUUGAACAUUUCUUUAAGUGCUUCUUGGAUAUUCAAGAUUACUCAGUUGAAAAUUUUCUGUUUAAUUUUAUAACAUUUUUUUAAAUUCGAUUAUUUGUUGUUUUGGUGUCUAACCUUUUGAUUCUUUAUAUAUAUUGGAUAUUAGCCCUUUGUCAGAUAGCGACUUGGUGAAGAUCUUUUCUCAUGUUUAGGCUACUGUUUUGUCUUCUUUAGAGUAUCUAUUGCCCUACAGAAGCUUUCAGUUUUAUGAAGUUAUGAUUAUCAACUAUCAAUGUUAGAGCCCUAGCCAUUGUUCUCUUCAAUAAAAUUUCUCCUAUGCCAA